rnacentral:rRNA from 1 species
UGGGGAAUAUUGCACAAUGGGCGAAAGCCUGAUGCAGCGACGCCGCGUGAGGGAUGACGGCCUUCGGGUUGUAACCUCUUUCAGUAGGGAAGAAGCGAAAGUGACGGUACCUGCAGAAGAAGCGCCGGCUAACUACGUGCCAGCAGCCGCGGUAAUACGUAGGGCGCAAGCGUUAUCCGGAAUUAUUGGGCGUAAAGAGCUCGUAGGCGGUUUGUCGCGUCUGCCGUGAAAGUCCGGGGCUCAACUCCGGAUCUGCGGUGGGUACGGGCAGACUAGAGUGAUGUAGGGGAGACUGGAAUUCCUGGUGUAGCGGUGAAAUGCGCAGAUAUCAGGAGGAACACCGAUGGCGAAGGCAGGUCUCUGGGCAUUAACUGACGCUGAGGAGCGAAAGCAUGGGGAGCGAACAGGAUUAGAUACCCUGGUAGUCCAUGCCGUAAACGUUGGGCACUAGGU